AGUGUGCUGGAAGACAGGGUCGGGAAGCCAAAAACAGAUCCCACAGCAUCGUAAAAAUAGCCAGUAGCUUGGGAAUUGCUUGACUAGCAAGGCAAGGACCUUGAUGUGUCUGACGCGCGGGGCGUUGGGGAGCCACCGUUGGCUACCGGUCCCACCACGUUAACAGCCUCCUCUUGAGACGGGAGCCCUGGCCGGCUCCCACCGGGGCUGGAAGGAGUCUGGGAUGCCGGGCUGUGAGGGUGCUCGCACGGCUCUAAAAGCCAAGGAAGGCGAGCUCUGGCCGGAAGACAGCCCGGGAGACGCUUAUCUGCCAAAGGGUGUGUACUCACCGCCCCCCCCCCCCCCCAGCUCUUCGAGGCUGCUCCCGGCACGGUCACCCCAAACUCCAGGCAGUGAGACCAGCACCCGGAAGAGGCAGAGAGGGAGACGAUUGGGGGGGGAGGGGGGUCAGGGAAGGAGAGGCCCCGUGAUCGGCAGAGACCUCGGAGGCAUUCGGAGACACGGAGACGCUCAUCGACUCCUCCCAGUGCCCACGUCAUUCUGCCACUUGGAGCGUGGCCCUCACGGUCCCAUGCCGGCGCUGUGUUCUAGACGGGCCCGGGGAGGAUGGGCGCACAGCUGUAGAGUCGGCCCCGGAAGGAUCCUGGGAAGCACACCCUCCGAACAGAGUCCUGAAGAAGGAAAAGUGACUCACCCAAGGUCCCGCGUAAUCUCUGCACCCAACAUGGGGCCCGAACCCGCAACUCCAAGAUCAAGAGUCACCUGCUGUACUGACGGGAGGCCCCCCCCUGCCCCCCCCCCACCAGCUCUGUUGAUAGAAGUGGCCUUGGUGUCCAGGGAUUGGCAGUUCCCGAGGCCAAGAGCUGCCGUGAGCAGGGGACGAGGGCGGCGGGCCAGGCCAGGGAG